UAUUUUAAGAAUUUUUUCUAUUAGUUUCAAUUUAAUUUCCAACUUUCUUUCUUGUUUACAAUCUUAUUUUUCUUUCGUUUUUACUUUAAUUUUUCGGUUAUCUCAAUAUAGCCCGGAUUCUUUCUUGAAGAGGCCGAGAAAUCUUUCGAAACAUAUUGAUUCUGACAGGCUUUUUCGAUUAAACCGUCAGAGGUGGUAAGCGCGUGUCAAUUGCCUGGACCAUAUAAUGACACAAGUACACGAGCAUGAAUUUUAUCUUUGGCUCAAAGGUUUUGGUCGUGGUUGUGGGUUGGACUUAAGUUUGAUGAAUGCUAGAUUUGAUGAAGUUUAUUAUGCUCCGAAGCCAAAUCAGAAUAAUAAAAUAUUUUGGCGAAGUCCAAAAAAAUAUAUUUUUGUGUAACGAAAAUAUAGCCCAAAAAUUAUAAUUAUACGUAUGUAUGAUAAAUUAUUAUUUGAAAUUUAAAAUAUUCAAAUAAUAUAUUUAUGAUCGGAAAUUAAGUAUGGUGUUUAUGGUCGAACAUUACCGAAAUUAUGACUGGCGGUUACCGGCCAUUAAACGUCGGCGGUUCCAACUCAGAAUUAAACACCCCCAAGGUUGGAGUGCCUAUAUAAGACCACUUCCAUCAUUCCAUUCAACACACCACAAAGAGAAGAUCUUUUAUCUCUAAUCCUCUCCUCCCCGGAAACAUUUUUCGGUGAAGUUUUCGAUGACUUGUCCGGUACAAACCCAACAAAUUUUUCUUAAAUAUUAAGCCUCCCGAGAUAGUUUGAAGUCUCCUUAUUUUAGUUUGUCAGGGCUCUGAAAUCUUGGGGUGCCACCUAAUUUGGAGACGAACGUCGUUUUAUCUUUUGGAACGUUGCGCUACGAACUGGAGGCACUACCGGGGCGUAUUCGUUUUUACGGAGAGAGGUUAUACAUCGAAUCGAUGUGAUUAUCAAACUUAUUUCAAUAAAUUAUUAUUGAUUAUCAAAUUUAUUUCGAUAAAUUAUUAUUGAUUAUCGGAUUUAUUUCAAUAAAUUAUUCUGAUUGUCGAAUUUAUUUUGAUAAAUUAUUAUUUGAUUAUCGAAUUUAUUUCGAUAAUUAGAGAGAAAUUUUACCUCAACUCGACGUAAUUAUCGAAUUUAUUUCGAUAAAUUAUUUUGAUGUCGAAUUCUAUUCUUCGAUAAUUAUUUGAUAUUCUUGUGAUAUAAUAAUUUUGUAACACUUCCGAUCGGGAAUCCUACGCUACGUUAAAGACCAGUGGCAUCGAUCUAACCCAUCGGAUUGAGUCUUUGGCGGUUCAAGAAAAAUUCAUGCUUCGUGUUACGUUAUAGGAAAAAUAUCAUCUUUAUUUUGAUGUGCUUUCAGAUUUUGCUAAUGUGUGUGUCCAUAGUGUUGUUAUGUCUGUCGUAAGGGCUUAUUGAGUUUUAUAUGCAUUGUGUCUAAACUUUGUAGUGAUGUAUGUUGUAGUAACUGUAUGUAAAAAGAUAUGCAAAUGAAAUUGAAGUUCAAGUUCGGAUUUUUGGGAUUCUGCAAAACGAUACGAAGCAUGAUUUGCUUUGGGUGAAAUCUCUUACCAAAUUGCUUGGCUAUCAGAUCAAACAAUUAACUGAGUUUAAUUAUAUGAUUAUGUUCAUUUGUAUUUAAUUAUAAGUUUAACACUCUAUUUUACUUUUACUUUCUUCUUCUUCACCUAAUCAAACAAAUUCGGAAAAAACAAACUGUGGUAACAAAUUGGUAUUCAACUCCCCAGAAUUCAGGAUCUGAUUCUGCCACCGGAUGGUACUAUAAUUCUGAGGUAGGAUAUGUUCUCUAAGGAAAAUAUGCCAUCAUCAGAAGUAGUAGUA